rnacentral:tRNA from 3 species
CGAUGCGCCGGUUAAAUCAAAUGACAGAACUAAGUAUGUAGAACUCUCUGUGGAGGGCUUGCGGACGCGGGUUCGAUUCCCGCCGGCUCCACCA